AAUAAAGUGCCUGAUUAAAGGAUUAUUCUGAUAGGAUAAAUUAAGUAGAUUUCCUACCUUUA
rnacentral:tRNA from 1 species